rnacentral:lncRNA from 7 species
ACAGCACAGCUCCCACCGCAGCUCCACAGCGGGUACCCCCGGGCCCAAGGAGCUCAGAAAGCCUUCCCUUCAGCACUGAGUUGAGCAGGUGACACAGACACUGGCUGGGGGAUGCCGAGACUACAGAACAGAAGAGCUGGCCAAAGAGGUCUGAGGGCACAGCUACACAGCAGAUGUCAAACUACAUACCCAGCAAAAGGAGAAGUUGUGAAGAUACAAGAAACUCACAUUUUUUUGAAGGCUGGCCAACAACCUUCCAAGCGAGAUGAACAGUUAAGCAUAUAGUGAGGAUAACACUACAAAGACCGAGGUAGAACCACAGCAUAUGCUCAAGGUGGAUAAUCCCGGAGACAAAAAUGCACUGAACUGUAUCCAGUGGAUGCAUAGAUUUGCUUGAUAUAACACUAAAUGAUAAAAUCUGCUACACAAACUGUCUGAGCUAGGGAAUCCAGGAAUGGCAUUGUUAAAAUUAGUGACAGUCAACAGCUCAAAUAACGGGAAGGAAAACAGUUUCAAUUCACUACUUAUAACCUCAGCAGAACUCAAUCAAUGAUCUAAGGUGACUUGACUGACUUAACGCUUUUGGAGUUUUCUUCAGCUUCUGAUUCUGCUGUAAUUUGAGUUCACUCCACAGAAUGUUUGUUCAUCAAACCCUAGAGUCCCAGGAUAAACCACAACUUGUGUCAUGGAAAAAGUAAUUGUUGAAGGUCUAGAACAGCUCUUGUCCCGUUAGUAAAUGGAAAUUCUAUCCACCAAAGAAAUAGCAUUAAAAUAAGAUCCCGUUUGCGAUCUAGGCACAGAGGUGAUCCACCACAGGCUGUAUAAUUCACAAAACAUUUGUCCAGUAUACAUCAGAAAAAUGUAUGCACAACUUCAACAUCCAGGACUGCCAGUGUAGCAUCUUUCAUUAAAGUCACUCUGCAAAAACAAGUUAAUGAAAACAGAAGUCUCUCAAGAGAUUAAAAAAAAAAGAGAGACUCAAAGCGAGGGCCAGAGAGGGAAAGAAUGGUGGGACUCAACCCAAGCUCUGCCAAGAUGCAAGAAUAAAGGGCUGUUUCCUGCUAAAACAUUCUACAUUUGCCAGACUUUGUUGCUAGAGCUCCACUCUGGAAAUGAAUAGGGCCAGUUCACUCCUCAAAGAUCCUUCAUUUCUGUCUACAAUGGGGGGCUCUCUCCUGCGCAGCUGUAACAGUAGCCAAAAUCUACUACAGACAAAGCAUUAAGCAAGGCAAAUUAGGAAGUCUCUCUACAAUUGGAAUUCCUAAUGGCUUCGUGUGGAAAUCUGAGUCCUCUCAAAUCCAGUGAAGACCCAAUAAAUGCUCACUGCAUACUAACUUCCCUUCACCUCUGAGAACAGCACACAACCUGAAUGUUUCACUCUAGCAUACAGAACACCUCCAAUACUAUCUGAAAGAUAAGUCAGUCUUCAUGGAAGAUUCAGUACGAGUUACCUAGUGAUUAAAAUCAAAACAAAUGAUUAGGAAAGAUUUCCUUUCCAAACGGGAUAGGAGAUGCUAAAGGUUUAAUCCGGAAGCUGAAACAUGUUGCUAAAUCUGGGUGGUUUCAGGAGGAACUGAGUAACUGAACUCCAAAUAUCUGGGCCCAUCAGCAACAGCCAACAGAUUACAAUUCAGGAAGAUAGGAAAUAAGACUGGGGGAAAAAAAAAAGAAGAAAAAAGGUAGCAAUUUCUGUGCACGAAUUCACAUAGAAGCUACCCUAUUUGGAAGGCAUUUCUCAGGUCUCUUAGAUCUUUCAAAAAAUGCCAUAGAUCACAACAUAUUGAACAACCUGAUACUGGACUCCAGGAUACAGCAUGGGUGUUUACUACUCUUUUUCUCAGUCAAAGGCACUUCACUGCCUCCAGGCUUCCAGAAGAAACAGAUGCCACACCAGGGACUGUCACAACCACAAAUCCAAGGUUAGCAUUUCAACUCUCCGCUCGUCCAUCAACCUGAGUACGACUUCUUCAAUGGCUGUUCUGAAGCUGACCUUGCUGCACUAACCUGCAUACAAGUACAGCUUGUUACGUGCAUGUGGGGACUAAUUUCCUCAAUGGAUGAGUGACCCGUUUGUGACAGCAAAAAAUUCAAGAUGGGAAUUCCUGUAAAUAGUCUGCAUUUCAUUCAGAAAAAAAUUGAACGAUACUAAAAAUUAUUCUGUGUCCCACUACAGUUUUAAAUUCAAUCUUUUAUGUCCUUAAGGAGUGUGUGGUGAUUUCAGUUACUGCCUUUCUCCAUAACCCGUACGGUACUAUAGAUAAACAUGUUAAAGAUCUCAUUUGCAAUC